rnacentral:rRNA from 1 species
GGAGUCUGGGCCGUAUCUCAGUCCCAAUGUGCCCGAUCACCCUCUUAGGCCGGGUAACUAUCGUCGCCUUGGUGGGCCGUUACCUCACCAACUAGCUAAUAGUACGCGGGCCGCUCUCUGUGCGAAUCAAAAGAUCCUUUCCUGCAGCACCUCUGACAUGCUGCAGCGUAUCCGGUAUUAUCUCCUAUUUCUAGGAGCUGUCCCCGUCACAAAGGUACGUCACCCACGCGUUACUCACCAGUCCGCCGCUCUAGGAUAGAAGCAAGCUUCCAUCUUACCGCUCGACUUGCAUGCUUAAGACGCGCCGCCAGCGUUCGUU